CAUGCAGUCGAACGAUGAAGCCUAGCUUGCUGGGUGGAUUAGUGGCGAACGGGUGAGUAACACGUGAGUAACCUGCCCUUGACUCUGGGAUAAGCGCUGGAAACGGCGUCUAAUACCGGAUAUGACCUGCCCCGGCAUCGGGUGUGGGUGGAAAGUUUUUCGGUCAAGGAUGGACUCGCGGCCUAUCAGCUUGUUGGUGAGGUAAUGGCUCACCAAGGCGACGACGGGUAGCCGGCCUGAGAGGGUGACCGGCCACACUGGGACUGAGACACGGCCCAGACUCCUACGGGAGGCAGCAGUGGGGAAUAUUGCACAAUGGGCGAAAGCCUGAUGCAGCAACGCCGCGUGGGGGAUGACGGCCUUCGGGUUGUAAACCUCUUUUAGUAGGGAAGAAGGGCUUCGGCUUGACGGUACCUGCAGAAAAAGCACCGGCUAACUACGUGCCAGCAGCCGCGGUAAUACGUAGGGUGCAAGCGUUGUCCGGAAUUAUUGGGCGUAAAGAGCUCGUAGGCGGUUUGUCGCGUCUGCUGUGAAAACCCGAGGCUCAACCUCGGGCCUGCAGUGGGUACGGGCAGACUAGAGUGCGGUAGGGGAGAAUGGAAUUCCUGGUGUAGCGGUGGAAUGCGCAGAUAUCAGGAGGAACACCGAUGGCGAAGGCAGUUCUCUGGGCCGUUACUGACGCUGAGGAGCGAAAGCGUGGGGAGCGAACAGGAUUAGAUACCCUGGUAGUCCACGCCGUAAACGUUGGGAACUAGAUGUGGGGGCCUUUCCACGGUCUCCGUGUCGCAGCUAACGCAUUAAGUUCCCCGCCUGGGGAGUACGGCCGCAAGGCUAAAACUCAAAGGAAUUGACGGGGGCCCGCACAAGCGGCGGAGCAUGCGGAUUAAUUCGAUGCAACGCGAAGAACCUUACCAAGGCUUGACAUAUACCGGAAACUUCCAGAGAUGGUUGCCCCGCAAGGUCGGUAUACAGGUGGUGCAUGGUUGUCGUCAGCUCGUGUCGUGAGAUGUUGGGUUAAGUCCCGCAACGAGCGCAACCCUCGUUCUAUGUUGCCAGCACGUUAUGGUGGGAACUCAUAGGAGACUGCCGGGGUCAACUCGGAGGAAGGUGGGGAUGACGUCAAAUCAUCAUGCCCCUUAUGUCUUGGGCUUCACGCAUGCUACAAUGGCCGGUACAAAGGGCUGCGAUACCGUAAGGUGGAGCGAAUCCCAAAAAGCCGGUCUCAGUUCGGAUUGAGGUCUGCAACUCGACCUCAUGAAGUCGGAGUCGCUAGUAAUCGCAGAUCAGCAACGCUGCGGUGAAUACGUUCCCGGGCCUUGUACACACCGCCCGUCAAGUCAUGAAAGUCGGUAACACCCGAAGCCAGUG
rnacentral:rRNA from 1 species